rnacentral:misc_RNA from 1 species
GAUGAAGAACGUAGCGAAAUGCGAUAAGUAGUGUGAAUUGCAGAAUUCAGUGAAUCAUCGAAUCUUUGAACGCACAUUGCGCCCCUUGGUAUUCCAUGGGGCAUGCCUGUUCGAGCGUCAUUUGUACCUUCAAGCCUUGCUUGGUGUUGGGUGUUUGUCUCGCCUCUGCGCGCAGACUCGCCUCAAAACAAUUGGCAGCCGGCGUAUUGAUUUCGGAGCGCAGUACAUCUCGCGCUUUGCACUCAGAACGAUGACGUCCAAAAGUACAUUUUUACACUCUUGACCUCGGAUCAGGUAGGGAUACCCGCUGAACUUAAGCAUAUCAAUAAGCGGAGGA